UUGCCCUCUUCUCCAAAAGCUAAUCAAAGCCCACUGCCAAGUAUACAGAUGGAGGAAUCAAACACAAACCCUCAUCUCCUCCUCCUCCCGAGAAGAGUGGCUCCGCUGCCUCCUGUCGCCGUCUCCCAGGAACGCCUCCGCCAGAUCCAACCCUCCUGCUCCUAACCCUAACCCUAACAUUUACUCACCUUGCUUCGCUGGGGCUGGGUAGGCCGCUGCGUCUGGUGUACUGCGACGAGCCCCGGAUGUACCCGGAGGCUGUCGCCGCGUUCCAGCUCGCCAGGUGCCCCAUCGGCGUCGUCGCCCUCCAUCAGGAGAUGAUGUCUGCUUCUCUUCAUCAUCGAUUCAGAUGAUUUGUUGACCUUGUGACAAUGCUUCUUCUGUGGGAGAGGAUGUGUGCUCCUCUUGAUCAUCGAUUCAGAUGCCAUGAACCUCUCAAGCGACUCGGUUCCCCGUGACUCCCUGCUUAUCCAUCCGGAGUAAUGUGCGAUCGAGGUGCUCCUCCUACAACAGUUCUACUAGGAUCUGUGCCAUGAGGUUCGAUCCUUUGUUUGCUCCUCUUGCUUCAUCUGUUUGCCCCCCAUCGAUAUUAUUAGAGUCACUGAGUUAGCUUGAGUUGCCAAAGACUUUUUCACUCUAUCGAUAUCGACUUAUAUAAACGUUGCGCAAGGCCGAAACACCUGUAAAUGCGCAAGGGCAAAGAUGACGGAAUGAAACGACGAACUGUAACCGUGACAAAUUUGGCUGUCAUUGUAGGCAGGCUGCCAUGGACUGGGACCCACGAUCGUCUCAUCUGUAUUUUAUUCUUCUCUUCCUUGAUAGUAUAUAAUUUGAAUUUAA